AUUCAACAGAUUAUCAGCAUCAAGUGCCAACACCAGAUCCUGCUUUAGAAAAAUGGUGCUGCAAAGGAGGAAAGCAGUGAGAAUUCCCCAAUGACUUCAGGCAUGGGACCACUGCAGGGCUGGGUGACUUGAGCUGGCUAGUCCUGUCCUGCUCCCUCCGGUGGGUUUCAGAAUCUGGAGCCGCAUUCACUGUCCUUUUUCACUGAGACUGUCUGAGCCUGAAGACAGUCACAUUCCAAACCAUGAGGGAAUAUUUUUCAAUAGGCUGUGAUACUCAUCCAACUCUGGCCCAUCCAACCUCUCCUGCUUCACACCAGGACAGGGCUCCCUGUGGAGGCUAGCAAUGGUGUCACUGGAAAUUAGACAUUUCUUCUAAUGGGAAGAGCACAGGUCCAGAAGUCAGAAGACCUUCGUUCUAAUCAUGGCUCUGCCACUUGCCUGCUUUGUGACCUUGGACCCCUGCUUAGCCCCACCAGACUAGGAAAGUGACAAAACGGUCAGACUCAUGGUGGAAAGGCCCUCUGAUCCUUUGUCAGACAAGGAGGACUGGGGCCCUCAUGAAGCCAGGCAACAGCACACUGUUGUGCACGCAGUUUGCUUUGUCCACCGGUGCCAGGACUACAGUUCCCAGCAGCCUCUGGGGAUAAGGUUGAUGUAUCCUGGCACUUCUCUGCCCUCCCUCUAAACAAACUGGAGAUGCUGGAAGACUGCCUGACAUAAAUCCAGCUGCUUGACUUCAUUGAUUACAUCAUGCAAACACGUGCACAGAAGAAGCUUUGUUCUAUAAGAUCAAGGUUUAUCUAAGAAAGCAUUUAUUCAAAUGUUCAGGCUGAAGAGGAGUCACACAUGCCCCACAAUUAACUUUUUGUUUCUGAGUAAGCCCCUGGGGUUACUAACUGUGAAUGAGUGGCAUGCUGAAAGACACAAGGUUUGAAAUUGUAAAUACUAGGGCAAGACACUUAUUAGAAUACAGAAAAUUCAAGUUUUGGUGGGGAUAAAGGUUUACUUUGGGGCAGGGAACACGUCUACCAACUCGUUUGUAUUAUAUUCUCCUGAGCUCUUACUGCACGCAAUAAGCACUAAGUAAAUACCUCUGAUUUAUUGGUAAUGCUUUUUAAAAAUAAUAUUUUAAGGUAGUUAUGUCCCUGGGAAUAACUCAAAGUCCUUCGUAAGCCCCUCACCAUCUAUCCAACCAGGGGGCUAUUUAUCCAUUCAUUCAUUCAUUCAGUAAUAUUUAUUGAGUGCUUACUGUGUGCAGAGCACUGUACUAAGCUCUUGGGAGAGUACAAUUUAACAAUGAACAGAUGCAUUCCCUGCCCACAAUGAGCUUACAACCUAGCUGCCUGUUCCUAGUAUGCCUAUGACUCCAGCUGCCUUUAUAUCAGCCAUUUUAAUUUAAAAACUUCAGCCUUCCUCCACCUAAGGGCUCAGAAACAGGGCCUUCUGUUCACAGAUACAUGGAAGGGGAACAGAGUGGCUUUCACUCCCUCAGUGCCCCUUGCCCCACAGCACUUACAUACAUUUCUGUAGUACAUUUAUUUAUAUUAAUGUCUGUC